rnacentral:rRNA from 1 species
GGUGUUGCAUGGCUGUCGUCAGCUCGUGUCGUGAGAUGUUGGGUUAAGUCCCGCAACGAGCGCAACCCUCAUCCUUAGUUACCAUCAGGUAAUGCUGGGGACUUUAAGGAAACUGCCAGUGAUAAACUGGAGGAAGGUGGGGAUGAUGUCAAGUCAUCAUGGCCCUUAUGGAGUGGGCUACACACGUGCUACAAUGGUGGCUACAAUGGGCUGCAAAGUCGCGAGGCUAAGCUAAUCCCUUAAAAGCCAUCUCAGUUCGGAUUGUACUCUGCGACUCGAGUGCAUGAAGUUGGAAUCGCUAGUAAUCGUGGAUCAGCACGCCACGGUGAAUACGUUCCCGGGUCUUGUACACAC